AACGAACGCUGGCGGCAGGCCUAACACAUGCAAGUCGAGCGCGCCUUCGGGUGAGCGGCGGACGGGUGAGUAACGCGUGGGAAUAAGCCCUUCUCUACGGAAUAGUCCUGGGAAACUGGGGGUAAUACCGUAUACGCCCUUUGGGGGAAAGAUUUAUCGGGGAAGGAUUAGCCCGCGUUGGAUUAGGUAGUUGGUGGGGUAAUGGCCUACCAAGCCGACGAUCCAUAGCUGGUUUGAGAGGAUGAUCAGCCACACUGGGACUGAGACACGGCCCAGACUCCUACGGGAGGCAGCAGUGGGGAAUCUUAGACAAUGGGGGCAACCCUGAUCUAGCCAUGCCGCGUGAGUGAUGAAGGCCUUAGGGUUGUAAAGCUCUUUCAGCUGGGAAGAUAAUGACGGUACCAGCAGAAGAAGCCCCGGCUAACUCCGUG
rnacentral:rRNA from 1 species